CGAGGUUGAUAGGCUGCAGGUGUAAGUGCAGUAAUGUAUUUAGCUGAGCAGUACUAAUAGAUCGUGAGACUUAAUCAAUAUA
rnacentral:rRNA from 1 species